rnacentral:rRNA from 1 species
UACGUAGGUGGCAAGCGUUAUCCGGAAUUAUUGGGCGUAAAGAGCGCGCAGGUGGUUGAUUAAGUCUGAUGUGAAAGCCCACGGCUUAACCGUGGAGGGUCAUUGGAAACUGGUCGACUUGAGUGCAGAAGAGGAAAGUGGAAUUCCAUGUGUAGCGGUGAAAUGCGUAGAUAUAUGGAGGAACACCAGUGGCGAAGGCGACUUUCUGGUCUGUAACUGACGCUGAGGCUCGAAAGCGUGGGGAGCGACAGGAUUAGAUA